AUCGGCAAAAAAUCGAGAAAUUCUACACUGUCACACUUGCACCACAUUAUCAAUAAUAAGCCAAUCACAUUUCUUCUUUUCAAACUAAAAUACAAUAAAAAUAUUUUUUUAUAAUUAUGAUGGGACAUAUCUAUUCUUAUAUUAUAAGCAAAUAAGUUUGUUUGUUUUGUCUCACCCCACCUCUUUAUCGGUAAGUAUGUAUAAUUACGAUUAUACCCUUCAUUUCAUUUAUUAUAAAAAUUAUUGAAAUUGAGAUUAAAUUUGAAUAUAUAUUAUAAAUUGUCCGAUUAAUUAUUAAAAGAAUUAGUCAAUAUUAAAAAAUUUUAAAUGCGUUGGAAUUUUAACUUUUAAAUUUCUAAUUUGAUU
rnacentral:lncRNA from 1 species